rnacentral:rRNA from 1 species
UACGGGGGGGGUAAGCGUUGUUCGGAAUUACUGGGCGUAAAGGGCUCGUAGGCAGCCAACUAAGUCAGACGUGAAAUCCCUCAGCUUAACUGGGGAACUGCGUCUGAUACUGGAUGGCUUGGAUUCGGGAGAGGAAUGCGGAAUUCCAGGUGUAGCGGUGAAAUGCGUAGAUAUCUGGAGGAACACCGGUGGCGAAGGCGGCAUUCUGGACCGAGAUUGACACUGAUGAGCGAAAGCUAGGGGAGCAAACGGG